rnacentral:rRNA from 1 species
UACAGAGGGUGCAAGCGUUGCUCGGAAUUAUUGGGCGUAAAGGGUAGGUAGGUGGUCUUAUUUGUCUGAUGUGAAAGCCUUGGGCUUAACUCAAGAAGUGCGUCAGAAACGGUGAGACUAGAGUGCUGGAGAGGGUCGUGGAAUUCCCGGUGUAGCGGUGAAAUGCGUAGAGAUCGGGAGGAACACCAGUGGCGAAGGCGGCUCACUGGACCGGUACUGACGCUGAUGCGCGAAAGCGUGGGGAGCAAACGGGG